GUGUAUUUCGCUGCGCGCGUCUGAAGAAGCUCUUCGAGCGCGGAGUGUCUUUUUCAAUUUUUAAAGUUCCAUCCCUCUUUCAACGUCACGCCACGAGUGGGAGGGAGAGGGAGUCUCACAAUGCCUCGAAGAACCUGACUAGUAGGUAACAUAGCGCAUAACAUAGUGGUCAGAAUUAUGACCAGCUGGCCUUAUGGUUGUCAGAAAAAUAUGUCAUAUUCCUGUCAGUAAAAAUAAGUUUAAAAAAAAUGUCUUUAGUCAACCAGUUUGUGACUAGAUCCAAAAUGUCCCCCCAAAAAGUUAUUCCUAGAACCCCAUAGGAGAUGGGGUUCAUCGAGGAACCCCUUUAGUUCCUCGAUGCCCAGCAGACAAAUGUGGAUUUGAAUUUGAGUAGACAGCAGGUGCAGGCACUUAACUGAAAAAUUGAAAGCUCUCCUCAUGUAGAGGUAAGGGUUCUCCCUUGAAUGACCUAAAUUCAUAAUGUUUUAUGACGAUACCAUCUAUCUUUUCAUAUUUGUGCAAAUGGCUGUGUUGUUUGACACUCGUAUUUAAAAUGAUUUCUAAACAAGGAAAUGUACAAUUCAAUGGCUGUCAAUCAACAGAGAGGUAUACAGACAAGGAGGCACACACAGGACCCAGAGGCCCCUACAUUAUAAACAAGACUUCACCCUCCUUAUACCUCUGACUAUAACAGGAAACCUAUGUGAUCACCAUGCACUGCAAAAUCACUCUGGCUAUGGAUAGCCUACAGAGGACAUCAACAUGCCAGAGGAUAAAUCCAUUGGACUUGGGGCUUUGUUGGGAGUUUACCUCAUAUUUAGAUUUUUGAAUUCUGCUUUGCCACUAAAAUCAUAAUAAACAUUUAAAACUUAAAGAUUGUGUUAUUGCACCAAAUGGAACCUUUAAACUGCCUGCACUCAAAGCUCAUC